UACGUAGGUGGCGAGCGUUAUCCGGAUUUAUUGGGCGUAAAGGGUGCGCAGACGGUUUAUUAAGUCUAAAAUCAAAUCUUGGAGCUUAACUCCAUUCCGUUUUAGAAACUGGUAGACUUGAGUAUGGUAGAGGCAAAUGGAAUUCCUAGUGUAGCGGUGGAAUGCGUAGAUAUUAGGAGGAACACCAGUGGCGAAGGCGAUUUGCUGGGCCAUUACUGACGUUCAGGCACGAAAGCGUGGGGAGCAAAUAGG
rnacentral:rRNA from 1 species